rnacentral:rRNA from 1 species
GACGAACGCUGGCGGCGUGCCUAAUACAUGCAAGUAGAACGCUGAAGGAGGAGCUUGCUUCUCUGGAUGAGUUGCGAGCGGGUGAGUAACGCGUAGGUAACCUGCCUGGUAGUGGGGGAUAACUAUUGGAAACGAUAGCUAAUACCGCAUAAUAGCAGUUGUUGCAUGAUAACUGUUUGAAAGGUGCAAUUGCACCGCUACCAGAUGGACCUGCGUUGUAUUAGCUAGUUGGUGGGGUAACGGCUCACCAAGGCGACGAUACAUAGCCGACCUGAGAGGGUGAUCGGCCACACUGGGACUGAGACACGGCCCAGACUCCUACGGGAGGCAGCAGUAGGGAAUCUUCGGCAAUGGACGGAAGUCUGACCGAGCAACGCCGCGUGAGUGAAGAAGGUUUUCGGAUCGUAAAGCUCUGUUGUAAGAGAAGAACGAGUGUGAGAGUGGAAAGUUCACACUGUGACGGUAUCUUACCAGAAAGGGACGGCUAACUACGUG